CCCGCUGAACUUAAGCAUAUCAAUAAGCGGAGGAAAAGAAACUAACAAGGAUUCCCCUAGUAACGGCGAGUGAAGCGGGAUGAGCUCAAAUUUAAAAUCUGGCUGGUUUACUAGUCCGAAUUGUAGUUUAUAGAAGCGUUUUCGGUGGCAGCCUGGGUAUAAAUCCUUUGGAAUAGGGUAUCAUAGAGGGUGAGAAUCCCGUCUUUGACACGGACUACCAAUGCUUUGUGAUGCGCUUUCAAAGAGUCGAGUUGUUUGGGAAUGCAGCUCAAAAUGGGUGGUAAAUUCCAUCUAAAGCUAAAUAUAGGCGAGAGACCGAUAGCGAACAAGUACCGUGAGGGAAAGAUGAAAAGCACUUUGGAAAGAGAGUUAAACAGUACGUGAAAUUGCUGAAAGGGAAACGCUUGAAGUCAGUCAUGUCUGCCGGGACUCAGCCUUGCUUCUGCUUGGUGCACUUCCUGGUUGGAUGGGCCAACAUCAAUUUUGACCGUUGGAGAAAGGCUUUGGGAAUGUGGCACCUUUGGGUGUGUUAUAGCCCUUUGUCGUAUACGGCGGUCGGGAUUGAGGACUGCAGCACGCCUUUAUGGCCGGGGUUCGCCCACGUACGUGCUUAGGAUGUUGGCGUAAUGGCUUUAAGCGACCCGUCUUGAAACACGG
rnacentral:rRNA from 1 species